GCCCCGGUAGUGUAGUCCGGAGAUGAUUCAUCAAUUAAUCGAAUUGUCGGACAACCAAUCAUAAAGCCCUCUCGAGGCUUUGACCCGGGUUCAAAUCCCGGCCGGGGCA
rnacentral:tRNA from 1 species